rnacentral:rRNA from 1 species
CCUACGGGAGGCUGCAGUGGGGAAUAUUGGACAAUGGGCGAAAGCCUGAUCCAGCCAUGCCGCGUGUGUGAAGAAGGCCUUCGGGUUGUAAAGCACUUUCAGUGGGGAAGAAAGCCUUGGGGCUAAUACCCUCGAGGAAGGACAUCACCCACAGAAGAAGCACCGGCUAACUCCGUGCCAGUAGCCGCGGUAAUACGGAGGGUGCGAGCGUUAAUCGGAAUUACUGGGCGUAAAGCGCGCGUAGGCGGUCUGAUAAGCCGGUUGUGAAAGCCCCGGGCUCAACCUGGGAACGGCAUCCGGAACUGUCAGGCUAGAGUGCAGGAGAGGAAGGUAGAAUUCCCGGUGUAGCGGUGAAAUGCGUAGAGAUCGGGAGGAAUACCAGUGGCGAAGGCGGCCUUCUGGACUGACACUGACGCUGAGGUGCGAAAGCGUGGGUAGCAAACAGGAUUAGAUACCCGAGUAGUC